ACCCUAGUUGGGCGGAGUCCAACCAACGCUGCGCUCUGGGUUGGGUAUCAGUACACGUAGCAGUUUUGUUCCACCGGUACUUGAGACAGAGUAUGAAUAUUGUUUAAUCUUUAAGUGGCUGACAACCGCAUGGCUCAGGGGUGCGAUAUAAAGAAAUCAAUUAACUAUUUGGAUGGCUAUUCUAGCUGACUGGAUCUAGCUAUAGUUGUUUUGGAAUUCAAGAAAGACCUCAGACUCUUAGAGAAAGUAGAAGAAUACUUUAGCCUGUAAUAUAAGAUUUAGUACAGGCAGAAAUAAACUUUUUCAUAAUAGUUAGACAUCUAGCACAAGGAGAGGUACAGCCAGCUAUAAGACUACCCCAAGGCUUCUGAGAAGCUUUUCGAAGACCAAAGAAGGCAUACAUAACACAGGUUUUGUCCAAACUAAUGAUCUAAUCUUAUUGGUAGCACAACAAAACUUAAAACAAAGACAAGUCCUUUUAAUUAAUUAAUACAUACUGUUCAAGCUUCAUUCAUAGAUGCUAAGAUAGACUAUGCUUCUUUUCUAGUAGCCUAGAUAUCCAGCAGGAGCUGUUUCUGCAUUCUCCAGAGAAAUACAGUGUCCCAGCUCGCCUUGUCAGCUAAAUUGAGCUGUAAGGUUUCCCACUUGAACGCAGCAAUCUGAUUGGGCUGCAAAUUUCUUGCAGUGGGAACAAAACUGCUACAUGUACUGAUACCCAACCAUGAGCGAAGCGUUGGUUGGACUCCGCCCAACUAGGGCUACCCCUGGCUUUACUGAAUUAACUAGCUGUGUCUGCUGUCUAGUUGGACCAGAUUUAGCUAGAUAAUGGGGUAGAGAAUAGUUGAGCGGUGCUGUGUGUAGCUUGAACUGUACUGGCUGGCAAGAAUCUAGUAAGCACCCUAUGCACUGAUAACUCGUCAGAAUGGAGGGUAUGUUCUAGGGAUCUGGACAGCUGUACAUCCAAAGGAGCCAGGGAGUGCCAAUCAUCUUCUCCCAGUCUCUGACACGCUAAACAAAAGGAGCUAGAACUGGGAGUCCCAGCUAGAAUUGCUAGCCGGAUCUAGACUAAUAGAAUGACAUGGAGGCGUGGUGAGGCCGGAUCCACACUAAUUGAUCGACCUAAAGACGCUCCUGUUCCAGAUUUCACGAAUGGCAAGGAAAGGUUUAUACCACAUGGCAAGGAGAGCAAGGAGUCGCCAAUGAACACUGUUUACAGAUCAGCAACCAUUUACAGAGCAGCAUCUGUGUGGAAUGUAUCCACUGUUGAAGGAUAGAAUCCUAAGGUCUUCAAAAUCUGCUCAUGUGAGCUCUCCCCAACCAUCACAGCCAGAAAAAUAUAAGAAAUGUACCCAAGAACGGCUGAAGUUAGCAUACGAUGCUGUUUUGAAUGAAGAGUUAAGUAUUCGCGAGGCAGCUGAUGCGUUUGAUGUUCCCAAGUCUACUCUUCAUGACAGAGUAUCCGGCAGAGUUCCGUUUGUUAAACUUAGUGGUUCUGUAAGAUAUUUGUCCGAUGCUGAGGAAAUGAUGAAGAAAUGAAUUUAUGAAAGGUAUAGUCUUGGGAGCAGCAUAGGCUUAACAAACAGGUUCAACUUGUGAGGAGAAGUUCUUUCGUUAUCGCUUCGUACAUACAAGCACCUUCGAAGUCCAACCUUGUAUGAACGCCUGGACCACUUGUAAAAAAUAUGUGAAGUACUGUUGCUGAGAACAUUCUGCCCAGACUAUAGUGUAGGUAAAUGGAUAGUUCAGGAUUUGAAUUCGCGAGGUGGAGCAUGCAUUCCCAAUGUGCUAAAUAGUGGAUUCGGCGAAGGUGAGUCAUUGAAUGUUCUCGGUGUUAUCCCGCUUCAUCAAUCUGUCGAGCUCCACUAUACACGUUUGAAAGUAGAAAACUAGAGCUGAAAUGAAAGCCUCGAAAUUAUAAUCAACAUUGUGAACAAUAUUUUUCAGCCAGCAUCGGCUCGCAAUUACCGCUAACUUCAGCUUUUCUGAAAUGUUUUUCCAAAGUCUUUGAAACCGAUUUGCAGUGAAAUACUCGCAAAAGAAUUUUCUCUCUAUCUAUAGUAGUAGGGGCAUAUCAGAGAUCGUUUGUAGGUCAUGUGACCUGAGUAUACUUAAAUGCUUUGACGAGAGGUUGAUUUCAUUAUCCAUAAGUGCACACCAGUGCACACUAGCAUAGAUUGAAGAGAGAAGGAUUGGAAACGGGGUGCACUUCCGGUGCCAUCCGUGUUUCCCCGCGCGGUUUCAAUCGAGGCUUACUCCUAACGUGUGAGUCUAAUUCUGAGCAUUGUUUUUUGCUGUCUAUAAAGUCACAUGAACUUAACCUCAUGCUUAUGGCCAUUUGGGACACAGCACACUACUUAGUAACACAACCAUAUCAUAGGUGGCAGGGGCGGAUCCAGGAUUUAGGGAAGGGGGGGUUCUUACUUCUUGGCCGCGCGAAGCGUGGACAAGAAGAAGUGUCACUGGGCGUGUAGCGC